rnacentral:rRNA from 1 species
AUUGAACGCUGGCGGCAUGCCUUACACAUGCAAGUCGAACGGCAGCACGGGGCAACCUGGUGGCGAGUGGCGAACGGGUGAGUAAUGCAUCGGAACGAACCUUUCAGUGGGGGAUAACGUAGCGAAAGUUACGCUAAUACCGCAUAUUCUGUGAGCAGGAAAGCAGGGGAUCGCAAGACCUUGCGCUGAUUGAGCGGCCGAUGUCAGAUUAGCUAGUUGGUGAGGUAAAGGCUCACCAAGGCGACGAUCUGUAGCGGGUCUGAGAGGAUGAUCCGCCACACCGGAACUGAGACACGGUCCAGACUCCUACGGGAGGCAGCAGUGGGGAAUUUUGGACAAUGGGGGCAACCCUGAUCCAGCCAUGCCGCGUGAGUGAAGAAGGCCUUCGGGUUGUAAAGCUCUUUCGGCCGGGAAGAAAUCGCACGGGCUAAUACCCUGUGUGGAUGACGGUACCGGAAUAAGAAGCACCGGCUAACUACGUGCCAGCAGCCGCAGUAA